ACAGCAGUCGCCGCGGGAAUACAGAGGGUGCAAGCGUUAAUCGGAAUUACUGGGCGUAAAGCGCGCGUAGGUGGUUCGCCAAGUUGGAUGUGAAAUCCCCGGGCUCAACCUGGGAACUGCAUCCAAAACUGGCGAGCUAGAGUAUGGUAGAGGGUGGUGGAAUUUCCUGUGUAGCGGUGAAAUGCGUAGAUAUAGGAAGGAACAUCAGUGGCGAAGGCGACCACCUGGACUGAUACUGACACUGAGGUGCGAAAGCGUGGGGAGCAAACAGGAUUAGAUACCCCCGUAGUCCCUGUCUCUUAUAC
rnacentral:rRNA from 1 species